GGAGCGGUUACCCUAGCCAGGUAAGGGAGCGGCCUGCUAAGCCGUUGCGGGGGCAACUCCGUCGUGGGUUCGAAUCCCACCCGCUCCG
rnacentral:tRNA from 1 species